UCACUACCAGGUCUGAGCCACCAAGUUUGUUGUCCAUGCCAUGGCUAGAGGUGAUUGCUAAUCAUCAGAUGACUGUUGGAAACAGGCUGUUGGUGUGAGGAACUUUGCACAUCACCAGGAAUUUUGAUAAGGACCAAUUUGAAGGCUGCAGUGAAGAUCUGUUUUAGACUACUGGUGUGAGCAGGGUCCCAAUUUUUGUUAUCAUCUUUUGAGAAAUAAGACUGCUACACUAUGCUGAAGGAGCUGGGGAAUAAUUUCCUUAACUAUAGCUUAUUUCUGGCAACUCUAUACUUUAUGGAUCCUUGUUCAGCUGCAUGAAGCAGUUCCCGGGAAGAGAUACAAUAGAUAUGUGGAACUUGCACAAGCAGCUUUUGGUGAAAGACUUGGGGUUUGGCUUGCUCUCUUCCUUACUGUUUACCUAUCUGCAGGGACUGCGACAACUUUGAUUCUCGUAGGAGGUGAAACCAUGAAGAUGUUCUUUCAAAUUGUUUGUGGUCCGCUCUGUUCAUCGAAUCCUUCAAGUCUUAUCAGUCUAAUGAGUUCUGUUGCAGGCAUUGUUUUAUAGAUAAAUGCAAUUGCAGUGAUCCAUCAAUUUGGUCACAUUGUAUUGACUGAUAUAGAAGAACUGUAAUGUCUAUGUCUUAUUUCUCAUUAUUGUUGAUAGCAAGUGCAACUAUCGCCUUAUAUUAGUUUCUGCGCAACUGUUGGAAUCAUUUCUUGUUAUGGAAAUAUCUCUGAAAAGAAGAGAA